rnacentral:tRNA from 1 species
UUUUAGUGCAAAUUUGGAGACGCACCCUAAAAGGUGCCGGGGCUUCUCCCGUUUUAAGAGAGACGGGAGAAGG